CCUUUGGCGGCUGCUAUUACUGCAAGUCGAGCGAACAGAUGAAGUGCUUGCACUUCUGACGUUAGCGGCGAACGGGUGAGUAACACGUAAGGAAUCUACCUAUAAGCGGGGGAUAACAUUCGGAAACGGGUGCUAAUACCGCAUAAUAUCUUCUUCCGCAUGGAAGAAGAUUGAAAGACGGCUCUGCUGUCACUUAUAGAUGACCUUGCGGUGCAUUAGUUAGUUGGUGGGGUAACGGCCUACCAAGACGAUGAUGCAUAGCCGACCUGAGAGGGUGAUCGGCCACAUUGGGACUGAGACAGGCCCAAACACAUACGGGAGGCAGCAGUAGGGAAUCUUCCGCAAUGGGCGAAAGCCUGACGGAGCAAUGCCGCGUGAGUGAAGAAGGCCUUCGGGUCGUAAAACUCUGUUAUAAGAGAAGAACAAAUUGUAGAGUAACUGCUACAGUCUUGACGGUAUCUUAUCAGAAAGCCACGGCUAACUACGUGCCAGCAGCCGCGGUAAUACGUAGGUGGCAAGCGUUGUCCGGAUUUAUUGGGCGUAAAGGGAGCGCAGGUGGUUUCUUAAGUCUGAUGUGAAAGCCCACGGCUUAACCGUGGAGGGUCAUUGGAAACUGGGAAACUUGAGUACAGAAGAGGAAUGUGGAACUCCAUGUGUAGCGGUGGAAUGCGUAGAUAUAUGGAAGAACACCAGUGGCGAAGGCGACAUUCUGGUCUGUUACUGACACUGAGGCUCGAAAGCGUGGGGAGCAAACAGGAUUAGAUACCCUGGUAGUCCACGCCGUAAACGAUGAGUGCUAGGUGUUGGAGGGUUUCCGCCCUUCAGUGCCGCAGUUAACGCAUUAAGCACUCCGCCUGGGGAGUACGACCGCAAGGUUGAAACUCAAAGGAAUUGACGGGGACCCGCACAAGCGGUGGAGCAUGUGGUUUAAUUCGAAGG
rnacentral:rRNA from 1 species